rnacentral:rRNA from 1 species
CCUACGGGAGUCAGCAGUGAGGAAUAUUGGUCAAUGGUCGAGAGUCUGAACCAGCCAAGUAGCGUGAAGGAUGACUGCCCUAUGGGUUGUAAACUUCUUUUAUAUGGGAAUAAAACGUUCCACGUGUGGGAUUUUGUAUGUACCAUAUGAAUAAGGAUCGGCUAACUCCGUGCCAGCAGCCGCGGUAAUACGGAGGAUCCGAGCGUUAUCCGGAUUUAUUGGGUUUAAAGGGAGCGUAGGUGGAUUGUUAAGUCAGUUGUGAAAGUUUGCGGCUCAACCGUAACAUUGCAGUUGAAACUGGCAGUCUUGAGUACAGUAGAGGUGGGCGGAAUUCGUGGUGUAGCGGUGAAAUGCUUAGAUAUCACGAAGAACUCCGAUUGCGAAGGCAGUUCACUGGACUGCAACUGACACUGAGGCUCGAAAGUGUGGGUAUCAAACAGGAUUAGAUACCCUAGUAGUC